rnacentral:rRNA from 1 species
GACGAACGCUGGCGGCGUGCCUAAUACAUGCAAGUCGAGCGGACUGAUUAAGAGCUUGCUCUUAUGACGUUAGCGGCGGACGGGUGAGUAACACGUGGGCAACCUGCCCUGUAGAUCGGGAUAACACCGAGAAAUCGGUGCUAAUACCGGGUAAUAUCUGAGAUCACAUGAUCUUAGGUUAAAAGAUGGCUCCGGCUAUCACUACAGGAUGGGCCCGCGGCGCAUUAGCUAGUUGGUAAGGUAAUGGCUUACCAAGGCGACGAUGCGUAGCCGACCUGAGAGGGUGUUCGGCAGCUCAGGGGCUAAAUCACGACCCAGACUCCUACGGGAGGCAGCAGUAGGGACUCUUCCGCAAUGGACGAAAGUCUGACGGAGCAACGCCGCGUGAGUGAUGAAGGGUUUCGGCUCGUAAAGCUCUGUUGUUAGGGCAGAAACAGUACCGAACGAACUAGGUCGGUACCUUGACGGUACCUAACCAGAAAGCCACGGCUAACUACGUG